rnacentral:rRNA from 1 species
GAGAGAGAAUGCCGGCAUGAGUAGCGAGAGCAAAGUGAGAAUCUUUGCCGUCGAAAGCCUAAGGUUUCCUGAGGAAGGUUCGUCCCCUCAGGGUAAGUCGGGACCUAAGCUGAGGGCGAAAGCCGUAGGCGAUGGACAACAGGUAGAUAUUCCUGUACCGCCAAAUUAUCGUUAAUACGAUGCAGUGACACAGGAGGAUAGGCAUACGCGGGUUGAUGGUAGAGCCCGCCCAAGCACAAAGGCUGGUCUGGUAGUGAAGUACGCCGGACCAUAAGGCAGAAGUGUGAAGGGGACAGAAAUACAAGUAUGGAAGAUGCUGAAUCCACACUGGCGAGAAAAGCUGCUAAGGAGAUAGUAGGGCGCCCGUACCGCAAACCGACACAGGUAGGCGAGGAGAGAAUCCUAAGACGAGCGGGAGAACCAUUGUUAAGGAACUCGGCAAAAUGACCCCGUAACUUCGGGAGAAGGGGUGCCACGGAAACGUGGCCGCAGAGAAAAGGCCCAAGCGACUGUUUAUCAAAAACACAGGUCUGUGCAAAAUCGAAAGAUGACGUAUACGGGCUGACGCCUGCCCAGUGCUGGAAGGUUAAGGGGAAAUGUUAGGUGUAGACCGAAGCAUGGAACUUAAGCCCCAGUGAACGGCGGCCGUAACUAUAACGGUCCUAAGGUAGCGAAAUUCCUUGUCGGGUAAGUUCCGACCCGCACGAAUGGCGUAACGACUUGGGCACUGUCUCAACAAUGGACCCGGUGAAAUUGUAGUAUGCGUGAAGAUGCGCAUUACCCGCGAUAGGACGGAAAGACCCCGUAGAGCUUUACUGUAGCUUGGCAUUGGAUCUUGGCAACAUAUGUACAGGAUAGGUGGGAGGCUUUGAAACUAGGACGCCAGUUUUAGUGGAGCCAUCCUUGGGAUACCACCCUUGUGUUGCUGGGGUUCUAACGUGUGGCCGUGAUCCGGCACACGGACAUUGCCAGGUGGGCAGUUUGACUGGGGCGGUCGCCUCCGAAAGAGUAACGGAGGCGCCCAAAGGUUCCCUCAGAAUGGACGGAAAUCAUUCAUAGAGUGCAAAGGCAUAAGGGAGCCUGACAGCGAGAGAGACAUCUCGAGCUGGGAGGAAACUCGGGCUUAGUGAUCCGGCGGUAUGAGAGUGGAAUUGCCGUCGCUCAACGGAUAAAAGCUACCUCGGGGAUAACAGGCUUAUCUCCCCCAAGAGUCCACAUCGACGGGGAGGUUUGGCACCUCGAUGUCGGCUCGUCGCAUCCUGGGGCUGUAGCAGGUCCCAAGGGUUUGGCUGUUCGCCAAUUAAAGCGGCACGCGAGCUGGGUUCAGAACGUCGCGAGACAGUUCGGUCCCUAUCCAUCGUGGGCGUAGGAAAUUUGAAGAGAGCUGUCCUUAGUACGAGAGGACCGGGAUGGACGCAUCCAUGGUGAACCGGUUGUCGCGCCAGCGGCAUCGCCGGGCAGCUAAAUGCGGACGGGAUAAACGCUGAAAGCAUCUAAGCGUGAAGCCCCCUCUAAGAUAAGAUUUCCCAUUCCUUUAAGGAAGUAAGGCCCCUUGCAGACUACAAGGUUGAUAGGCCAGAGGUGGAAGUGCAGUAAUGUAUGGAGCUGGCUGGUACUAAUAGGCCGAGGGCUUGAUCAA